rnacentral:lncRNA from 1 species
CUAUACCUCUCAACUAAUGGCAUUUUGCAUAAAAGCCCCUCCACUUUAUUUCUCUCAACCCAGGCUGCCUGGGCAAAUUUCGCGUGGAGGGACCGGUCUCUCCCUGCCUGGGACCGGUCCCUUGGGACCUUCCCUAGUUUACGCGUUCGGGAACCGGUCCCUCAGGCCCAGGGACCAGUUGCAUCGUGCGCUGCUGCAACCCUCAGUUCGGGGACUGGUCACUCCCUGCCAGGGAUCGGUCCCCAAGAGCAAAAUCUGUCAGGUGCAG